rnacentral:rRNA from 1 species
ACUAUACUGAAAGAUAAUCGUAUUUAGAUGGAAUUUAGGUGCGGGAUAAACCCCGCCUUGAAAACUAGACAAAUAAGAUAAAAGCAGAAGGUAUAAAAAUGUUUCAUGUUUAUGUGCUACAAAGCAAAAGUGAUGAAAACAGAUUUUAUCUUGGAAGUAGCAAAGAUUUAAAGCAACACUUAAAAUCACACAACCAAGGUAAAAAUAAAGCAACGAAAGGCACACGGUGGAAACUGGUGUACUACGAAGCAUAAAUCACAUUAACUGCUGCAAGACAGCGAGAACAUAAACUCAAACAAGAUGGACGAUCAAGACGAUAUUUAAUGCAACGCAUUAAAGACAGUCUAACGAUUGAAAAUUAAUCAAUCAAGAAAGAAACAAGGAAAGGAAACCAAAGAAAAAAGGAAAAGCGGGCUUUGUCCUGCACCUAAAUUCCCUCAAAAGCGAAGGAAAGGCGGGUAAAAGGAAAAACUUUCAAAAGUAUUGAAGAAACACAAGUAAAGAGCAAUUUAGGUGCGGGAUGACUGCGUACCUUUUGUAUAAUGGGUCAGCGACUUACAUUUUGUGGCAAGCUUAACCGAAUAGGGGAGGCGUAGCGAAAGCGAGUCUUAAUAGGGCGUUCAGUCGCAAGGUGUAGACCCGAAACCGGGCGAUCUAUCCAUGGCCAGGUUGAAGGUAGGGUAAUACCUACUGGAGGACCGAACCCACUUAUGUUGAAAAAUGAGGGGAUGAGCUGUGGAUUGGAGUGAAAGGCUAAUCAAGCCCGGAGAUAGCUGGUUCUCCUCGAAAGCUAUUUAGGUAGCGCCUUGUGUAUAACUGUUGGGGGUAGAGCACUGUUUCGGCCAGGGGGUCAUCCCGACUUACCAACCCGAUGCAAACUCCGAAUACCAACAAGUUUUAGCACGGGAGACACACGGCGGGUGAUAAGGUCCGUUGUGGAAAGGGAAACAGCCCAGACCGUCAGCUAAGGUCCCCAAACACUGCUCAGUGGAAAACGAUGUGAAAAGGCUCAGACAGCCAGGAGGUUGGCUUAGAAGCAGCCAUCCUUUAAAGAAAGCGUAAUAGCUCACUGGUCGAGUCGGUUUGCGCGGAAGAUUUACCGGGGCUAAGUAGUGUACCGAAGCUACGGACUUAGAGGAUAGACUAUAGAAGAUAGAAAGUAGAAUAGAAUAGAAGAGACGAUAGCAAUCAGCGAUGAGGUGUUAUUAAUACAUUCUAACUGCUACUUUAUACUGUCUUUUAUAUUCUAUCCUCUGAGUGGUAGAGGAGCGUUCUGUACGCCUGCGAAGGUUGACUGAGAAGUCGGCUGGAGGUAUCAGAAGUGCGAAUGCUGACAUGAGUAACGAUAAAGGGGGUGAAAAACCCCCUCGCCGAAAACCCAAGGUUUCCUGCGCAACGCUAAUCGACGCAGGGUUAGUCGGUACCUAAGGCGAGGCCGAAAGGCGUAGUCGAUGGAAAACAGGUUAAUAUUCCUGUACUUAAUAUAACUGCGAUGGGGUGACGGAGAAGGUUAGAUCAGCAAGCUGUUGGACAUGCUUGUUUAAGCUUGUAGGGAGAGUGUUUAGGUAAAUCCGGACACUUGUUAAUCCUGAGGAGUGAUAACGAAACUCCCUUUUAAGGGAAAGAAGUGAUUAAUACCCUGCUUCCAAGAAAAACCUCUAAGCAUCAGGUUAUAUUGAGCCGUACCCCAAACCAACACAGGUGGGUGGGAUGAGAAUUCUAAGGCGCUUGAGAGAACUCGGCUGAAGGAACUAGGCAAAAUGGUACCGUAACUUCGGGAGAAGGUACGCCCUUGGUAGGUAAAGCGACUUGCUCGUGGAGCCGAAGAGGGUAGCAUUAAACUGGUGGCUGCGACUGUUUAGCAAAAACAUAGCACUGUGCAAACACGAAAGUGGACGUAUACGGUGUGACGCCUGCCCGGUGCCGGAAGGUUAAUUGAUGGGGUUAUUCCACCUCCAGAUUAUUUUCAUAUUGAAGGAGUUUUAUUUUUUGACGAAAGAAUUUACAUAAAGUAAAUGACAGAGGAAGAAAAUGAAAACAACCAAGAGAUAGAGAAUAAUGUGGUGGUGGAAGAAGCUCUUGAUCGAAGCCCCGGUAAACGGCGGCCGUAACUAUAACGGUCCUAAGGUAGCGAAAUUCCUUGUCGGGUAAGUUCCGACCUGCACGAAUGGCGUAACGACGGCCACACUGUCUCCAGCCGAGACUCAGUGAAAUUGAAAUUGCGGUGAAGAUGCCGUAUACCCGCGGCUAGACGGAAAGACCCCGUGCACCUUUACUAUAGCUUUACACUGGACUUUGAACCUAUCUGUGUAGGAUAGGUGGGAGACUUAGAAGUGGCAUCGCCAGAUGUUGUGGAGUCACCCUUGAAAUACCACCCUGGUAUGUUUAAAGUUCUAACCUAGGCCCGUAAUCCGGGUUGGGGACAGUGUAUGGUGGGUAGUUUGACUGGGGCGGUCUCCUCCCAAAGAGUAACGGAGGAGCACGAAGGUACCCUAAUCCUGGUCGGAAAUCAGGAGAUUAGUGCAAUGGCAUAAGGGUGCUUGACUGCGAGACGGACAAGUCGAGCAGGUACGAAAGUAGGUCAUAGUGAUCCGGUGGUUCUGAAUGGAAGGGCCAUCGCUCAACGGAUAAAAGGUACGCCGGGGAUAACAGGCUGAUACCGCCCAAGAGUUCAUAUCGACGGCGGUGUUUGGCACCUCGAUGUCGGCUCAUCACAUCCUGGGGCUGAAGCAGGUCCCAAGGGUAUGGCUGUUCGCCAUUUAAAGUGGUACGCGAGCUGGGUUCAGAACGUCGUGAGACAGUUCGGUCCCUAUCUGCCGUGGGCGUUUGAGAUUUGAGGGAAGCUGCUUCUAGUACGAGAGGACCGGAGUGGACGUUCCGCUGGUGUUCGGGUUGUCAUGCCAAUGGCAUUGCCCGGUAGCUACGAACGGACAGGAUAAGCGCUGAAAGCAUCUAAGCGCGAAGCCCCUCCCAAGAUGAGAUCUCACUGGAUAUUUAAUAUCCCUGAAGGGCCCUUGGAGACUACAAGGUUGAUAGGUCAGGUGUGGAAGCACAGUAAUGUGUGUAGCUAACUGAUACUAAUUGCCCGUGAGGCUUGACCAU